GAGCACGUAGGUGGGUUUGUAAGUCAGAUGUGAAAGCCUUCUGUUCAACGGAAGAAUUGCAACUGAAACUACAAACCUUGAGUAUAGGAGGGGAGAAUGGAACUUCUGGUGGAGCGGUGAAAUGCGUAGAUAUCAGAAGGAACGCCGGCGGCGAAAGCGAUUCUCUGGCCUAUUACUGACACUGAGUGUGCGAAAGUUAGGGGAGCAAACGGGAUUAGAUACCCCGGUAGUCCUAACUGUAAACGAUGGGCACUAAGUAGAGGGGUU
rnacentral:rRNA from 1 species